rnacentral:rRNA from 1 species
GAUGAACGCUAGCUACAGGCUGAACACAUGCAAGUCGCGGGGCAGCAUGAAGGAUGCUUGCAUCCUUUGAUGGCGACCGGCGCACGGGUGAGUAACGCGUAUCCAACCUGCCUGUUACCACGGCACAGCCCGUCGAAAGGCGGAUUAAUGCCGUAUGUGGUCCUUUGCGGGCAUCUAAUUAGGACUAAAGGUUCGGCGGUAACGGAUGGGGAUGCGUCCGAUUAGCUAGACGGCGGGGUAACGGCCCACCGUGGCUACGAUCGGUAGGGGUUCUGAGAGGAAGGUCCCCCACACUGGAACUGAGACACGGUCCAGACUCCUACGGGAGGCAGCAGUGAGGAAUAUUGGUCAAUGGGCGGAAGCCUGAACCAGCCAAGUAGCGUGAGGGAAGACUGCCCUAUGGGUUGUAAACCUCUUUUGUGCGGGGAUAAAGUGUGGGACGUGUCCCAUAUUGCAGGUACCGCAUGAAUAAGGACCGGCUAAUUCCGUGCCAGCAGCCGCGGUAAUACGGAAGGUCCGGGCGUUAUCCGGAUUUAUUGGGUUUAAAGGGAGCGCAGGCCGUCCUUUAAGCGUGCUGUGAAAUGCCGCGGCUCAACCGUGGCACUGCAGCGCGAACUGGAGGACUUGAGUACGCACGAGGUAGGCGGAAUUCGUGGUGUAGCGGUGAAAUGCUUAGAUAUCACGAAGAACUCCGAUUGCGAAGGCAGCUUACCGGAGCGCAACUGACGCUGAGGCUCGAAAGCGCGGGUAUCGAACAGGAUUAGAUACCCUGGUAGUCCGCGCGGUAAA